AUAUUAUCCACGAAUAAUUAUACAGUGUUCCGACUUGUAACGUUACCGUGGAACAGAAAUUCUAAACCUAUUGAUUAUAGAAAAUAAAGAAGAAAUUAGAACCCAUUAUAUGAAUCAGUUAUUUGUGAAGAAGUAUGCAGAGCACACAACCAGCAUUAAGCUCAGCCAAAUGCUCUCUCUUGUUGAAGACCAAUUUGUUAUGGAAGCCUGCCCAUAGAAGGUACCACAUGUCGACCAAUUGGACUAGCUAAGCCAACGGAUUCAGACCUUGGAAAACGCAAUGGAAGCGAACACGAAAAAACUGACGGAGACCACGAACCAGGUUGCGAAGAUGACGGCUUUGCGUGAAGGGGAAAGCGAAGGAUGUGGCGU